CGCGAGAACGGGCGUCCUCGAGUGCCGGUCAGAGAGCUCUGGGGAGUUGUCUAGAUAUUUCCUUAGUGGUCAGCCAAGUAUUUGGUUUCUUAUUUUGUCAGAGGUAGACAGAGCUUAGUAUUGGAAAGUCAGUGUGAAAUUAUGCAACCCUUGGUUAUAACCCUAGGAACUUAAGGUAGCGAGUGGUUUCGUACUAUUUGGUUUUUACAAAUUAACCUUUUAAUUAAAAGUUGAAGUUGAAAAGUUUGCCAGACUCAAAGAUCUCCCCCACUGAACUAUUACCUGGGUUAUCUAAAUACAGGCUAUUUGUUUGAUUGGCAUUUGCUCCUGUCAGUUCUGUAACUCUCUCUGCUAUGGCCUGGGAAAGCAGUGAGAAGACGGCCCAAGUCCUUGAGCCCCUGCACCCACAUGGGAGACCCAGAAGAAGCUCCUGGCUCCUGGCUUCGGAUCAGCAUAGCUCCAGCUGAUGCGGCCAUCUGGGAAGUGAACUAACAGAGAUGGACAGAAAGAUGCCUGCCUGCUGGUUCACUCCUCAAAUGCUUGUAACAGAGGAGGCUGAACCAGGACAAAGUCAGGAACCAGGAACUCAUUUGGGAUGUCCAACAUGGGUAGCAGAGAUCCAACUACUAGAGACAUCACCUACUGUUGAUGCUAAAAUCAGGAGUGGAGCUGAAACUCAACCACAGGUAUGCUAAUAUGGGAUGCAGUCAUUUCAAGCAGCAUGUUAAUGACUGUGCCAAAUACCCACCUCCAAAGAUUUGAUU